rnacentral:rRNA from 1 species
UUGCGGUUAAAACGUUCGUAGUUGAAUUUUCGUCCCACACGGGUAAUGUACCCAAGUGCGGGUUUGCAUUACUUGUUGUAUGUGCAUUGGUAAAACAGUGUGCAUAUGACUUUAAGUGUGAUGGAUGUUUUACCGGUGAGGGAAACGACCUAUUCUUGUGUAGUUCGCUAUGCAGUUAGAUACGCCCCUUAUGUAAAAAACCCAUUUUAGUGCUCUUCAUCGAGUGCUAUUGUGGGCCGGUACAAUUACUUUGAACAAAUUAGAGUGCUUAAAGCAGGCUAAAUGUAAUGAAAAUUAUAACGCCUGAAUAUAUUUUGCAUGGAAUAAUGGAAUAGGACCUCUGUUCUAUUUGAUUGGUUUCUAGAUCAAGAGGUAAUGAUUAAUAGAAGCGGUUGGGGGCAUUAGUAUUACAAGGCGAGAGGUGAAAUUCGUAGACCCUUGUAAGACUGACUUAAGCGAAAGCAUU